CUAGAAGCUGGCUGUCGGAACAUCCUUUGAAGUGGUGGUUUUAAACACUUUUAUGAACUGCAGGCUGAAUGUGAACAUGUAAGUCAUUCUCCUGUUACCUGCUGCCAUGUAAAACCCCACUGUGUUCCUGCGGCAUCAUCAGGCUUGGAAAAGAGCAAGUCCAAGGGUUCUCCCAAGGUCUGGAUCUAUCUGCAUGAAUGGCCCUCACCUGCGGUGCUCCUGACGCAUCUUGGAGGCCAAAGGAACUUUCUUCCUGGCUCUUGGCAGCAUUGACUGGGGAUCUUCAAAUGGCCAACCAGUUCACAGCCAUUGUGAACAUUUAUGUAAUAACACUUCAUUUCACCUGUUCCUCACAAUGGUCCCUGCUUUACAAAUAGAGAAGUGAAGCUUCUGGAGGUCAGAUGAUUUGCCCAAGGUUAUGGAAGUAGUAAGGAGUGGAAACCAAGCUUUUUAAUUUCAAAUCCAAUGCUCUUAUCACAAUACCUCACUAUUAAUCCCUAAUCUGCCCAAAUAUUGCAUUAAAAGGAAAUGAUUUAGGGAAGAGAUUUGAGGGUUGUCUCCUUUGAAAGUAUACUUUUAGAAUUUUCCAGCCAUUCUAUUCAAGGCAUCAACCCCAAUUCCCCUUCUGUACAUCCUCAAUGAGUGACAGCUUACCUCCUCCAGCCCAUACAGCCCUCCCCUCCCCACAUAGGGCCAGUGUCUUAGCAUCUUCCUCCCCGCCAACCACCGACUCUGGGUGGUGGGUGCCCAGUGUUGAGUCAGGGAACUUGGGAAGCUGCAGGGUUAACAGGCCCAUCAUCCCCUGCUGUUAAUUUCACUAGAAGCACUGUUAGGGGAGAGCAAUCUUACGGUGCCUAUCUACCUACUAUGCAGCAGGAAGUACAUUUUGAAGAUUAGUAUUUUUUAUCUUUCAAAACAACGCAAAGAAAUUUUUGCUUGUCGCAGGUGUUUUCAGAGACAGCCCUGAAUCUUCUAGAGAUGUCUCCUCAGCAGGCUGUGGGUUUCAUUGCUGAAAUACAACCCUCAUUAUCUGAAAAGCUCAUUGGGUAUCUACCAUAUGUCCCAGGACAAUGUGCCACGCUGGUGUUUUUCUCAUGUAUUAUUAGAUAACUUUCCUCAUCUUUACAUUGCUGUUAGGUUACACCCUCCUUGAAGCUCUUGUAGUAAAUAAUAGCACGUACCUACUAUGUGCCAAGAGUGGGGCUCAGACAAGUGUCAGGCAAGCGAGGGGCCUAGUGUACAAAAUUUAAGGAGGCAUUCAGCUGCUGACCCUGAGACUGAGUGCCUGGUCCUUUGUGAGUGCCGCUGUCACCCUGGUCCCACCCUGGCCAGGUUCUUUUUUAUUAUUUUAUUUUAUUAUUUCUUUUUUAGAGACAGGGUAUCCCUAUGUUGCCAGGGCUGGUUUCAAACUCUGGGUUCAAGCGAUCCACCCACCUUGGCCUCCCAAAGUGCUGGGAUUACAGGUGUGAGCCACCUCACCCAGUCUACCCUGGCUAGGUUCUUUACAUAUAUAUAUAUAUCCUAUUAUCUUCACAAUGGUCUCAUUUUACAGAUGGGCAAGACCUGAAGCAUAUGCUGGUUAAGAAGCUUGCCCAAGGUCACACAGCUGGUUCCAGCAACCUGCUGGUGAACACUGACAUUAUGGUAUUUGGAUUUACAACAGCCCUGAGAAGUAAUUGGUCCUAUAUAAUAUUGGUUCAUGAGCACUGAUUGCUCGAUUUUCAGGCAUUUUGGAAAUCAGCGGUUAAAC
rnacentral:lncRNA from 10 species